UAGGGAAUCUUCCGCAAUGGACGCAAGUCUGACGGAGCAACGCUGCGUGAGUGAAGAAGGAUUUCGGUUCGUAAAACUCUGUUGUUAGAGAAGAACAGCGCAUAGAGUAACUGUUAUGCGUGUGACGGUAUCUAACCAGAAAGCCACGGCUAACUACGUGCCAGCAGCCGCGGUAAUACGUAGGUGGCAAGCGUUGUCCGGAUUUAUUGGGCGUAAAGCGAGCGCAGGCGGUCAAUUAAGUCUGAUGUGAAAGCCCCCGGCUCAACCGGGGAGGGUCAUUGGAAACUGGUUGACUUGAGUGCAGAAGAGGAGAGUGGAAUUCCAUGUGUAGCGGUGAAAUGCGUAGAUAUAUGGAGGAACACCAGUGGCGAAGGCGACUCUCUGGUCUGUAACUGACGCUGAGGUUCGAAAGCGUGGGUAGCAAACAGG
rnacentral:rRNA from 1 species